AGUUUUACCCUACUGAUGAUGUGUUGGUGCAACAGUAAUCCUGCUCAGUACGAGAGGAACCGCAGGUUCGGACAUUUGGUGCGUGUGGCUUGGCUGAGGAGCCAAUGGUGGGAAGCUACCAUCCGUGGGAUUAUGACUGAACGCCUCUAAGUCAGAAUCCCGCCUAGACGCAGCGAUACCAUAGCGCCGCGGAUCUUCGGUUGGUCUCGGGUAGCCGGCCCCCGGGUCGGUGAGGAGAGCCGCUCGCGACGGGGCUGGGGCGCGGCCGGACGAUGGCCGCCCCUCUCCCACCGCGCACCGCAUGUUUGUGGAGAACCUGGUGCUAAAUCACUUGCAGACGACCUGAUUCUGGGUCAGGGUGUCGUACGUAGCAGAGCAGCUCCUUCGCUGCGAUCUAUUGAAAGUCACCCCUCGAUCCAAGCUUUUGU
rnacentral:ncRNA from 1 species